AUGAACGCUGGCGGCGUGCUUAACACAUGCAAGUCGAACGAUUAAAGCUCACUUCGGUGAGUGUAUAGAGUGGCGAACGGGUGAGUAACACGUGGGAAACCUGCCCCUUUCUUCGGGAUAACUUCGGGAAACCGUUGCUAAUACCGGAUACUCCGGGAUGGUCGCACGGCCGACCCGGGAAAGCUUUAUGUGGAAAGGGAUGGUCCCGCGGCCCAUUAGCUUGUUGGUGGGGUAAUGGCCUACCAAGGCGAUGAUGGGUAGCCG
rnacentral:rRNA from 1 species